UCUCAGUUUGUGGUGGUUCUUCUCCCGAAGUUGGUGUCCGUGAUGAUGGUUUUAUUGCUACAUGGGAGGAGUUCGAGUGCUUGAUGGCAGGUUGCCAAUGAUUUGUACCGCAUAAUAUGGACGAUUAAGGAACAACUUCGAAGGUUUCGAGAAGGUUACAGAUAUUUGUAACGGGCUGCGCCAUGGAGCAAAAAACCCCUGCAAGCAUUAGGCCAGCUUAGAAAGAAGAUGGGCCCCCUAGAAUUUCUAGUAGGUCCUCAGGGAUGAGGUUGCAAGCACCAAGAAAAUUUUUUCUGAACCAUAACAGACGUCGUUAAGUACUCACAGCUGGGCAAACAGGCGGUGUGUUGGCAUGGGGCGUUCCAUGCCACGGACCUAGCAAAGGUAAGGUGAUAUAUAUUUGUGUGUGUCUAUAAAAAACUAAGAGAGAUUAUUUCCAUUCCAUGCAACAAACUUGUCCGUACACACGCCCACAAACACACAUAUUUGAACAUAUUUUUGCUGUGUGUUCUACGUUUCCCUUUGUGAUAAUACGUUUUUCCAUUACAGAUACAAACAGGUUAGUCCUCCGAGGAAGAAAUUAUAUAUUUUAUUCUAUG